AUUGAACGCUGCGGCAUGCCUUACACAUGCAAGUCGAACGGCAGCAUAGGAGCUUGCUCCUGAUGGCGAGUGGCGAACGGGUGAGUAAUAUAUCGGAACGUGCCCUAGAGUGGGGGAUAACUAGUCGAAAGACUAGCUAAUACCGCAUACGAUCUACGGAUGAAAGUGGGGGAUCGCAAGACCUCAUGCUCCUGGAGCGGCCGAUAUCUGAUUAGCUAGUUGGUGGGGUAAAAGCCUACCAAGGCAACGAUCAGUAGCUGGUCUGAGAGGACGACCAGCCACAGUGGGACUGGGACACGGGCCAGACUCCUACGGGAGGCAGCAGUGGGGAAUUUUGGACAAUGGGGGCAACCCUGAUCCAGCAAUGCCGCGUGAGUGAAGAAGGCCUUCGGGUUGUAAAGCUCUUUUGUCAGGGAAGAAACGGUAGUAGCGAAUAACUACUACUAAUGACGGUACCUGAAGAAUAAGCACCGGCUAACUACGUGCCAGCCGCCGCCGUAA
rnacentral:rRNA from 1 species